GUCCCAGUUCGGAUUGCAGGCUGCAACCCGCCUGCAUGAAGCUGGAAUCGCUAGUAAUCGCGGAUCAGAAUGCCGCGGUGAAUACGUUCCCGGGUCUUGUACACACCGCCCGUCACACCAUGGGAGCCGGAAAUGCCCGAAGCCAGUGACCCAACCUUAGGGAGGGAGCUGUCGAAGGUGGAGCCGGUAACUGGGGUGAAGUCGUAACAAGGUAAC
rnacentral:rRNA from 1 species